rnacentral:lncRNA from 1 species
UGGGGGUGCUCUUAGCUGUGAUUUGUAAGGUCCUUAGAAAUUCAGUGAAAGCCUAUUUUGGGGAGAUGAAGCAGCCUCUGACCAGUAGCUGGUGCUGGGGGCUCUGUGGCUGCAGCACCCCUGGACUGUGAGCUCAGGCAGUGUGAUGGAGAUAAUUCUCUUUUACAGGGAUGGAGAAGAGGAGUGAGGGAUCCUUGGGAGAGACAAGCAGAGGCCCUGCUGCUCUUUCUCCAGGAGCAGCCUAUCAAGAAGGGCCAUGAAAUGGCAUUGCAUAUCUCAGUCACAGCUACCCCUUCCCGACUGGAAAAGAGAUAAGGAUUGUUUUAUUUCAAGCUGUUGAGUAUGAAAAGAUAUUGUUUACCUCCCUCACAAAUAUCAUCAGAAAUAUGAUUAUUUGCAGUACAGUUUUUAUCUAAAUGCAUGAUGCCAAGGAUUAGCCAAAGGUAACCCAGGCUUUCAAAUCUAAAAAUUUUAAUCUAAAAUAUUUAAAAUAAUUUAAAAAUUAGAUUAUUUAAAUAUUUUAAUCUAAAAUAUUUAAAUUCAAAUCUAAAAAUAUUUAUCAUUUAUAAAUUAUAUAUAUUGAGGAACAAAUUUUAUAUAUUUAGGACCAAAUUACAUAUAUUUAGGACCAAGAUUCAGCCUUGAUAUUUGCAGUUUUAAAAUCUGAAUUUCUGGCCAGAAAUUUUGAAAUUUCAGUCCAGAGCUGCAUCUUCAGGCAUGCCAAAUAGCAGGCAGAUUCAAACAAGUUCUUCAUCUUUUGCUAGAAGUUAAAGAACUGACAAGCACUAGAGAAGGAAUUAUACAAAUUGGAUGUUUUAAAGAAAAAUUAGAGCGCCUGCAGUUUAUGUGGCUAUCCCAAGCUGUCUCCAGUAAUGUGUACUAACAGCUUAAACCUGAGACUUUGUAAUUUCUUACAACUACAGCUGUGUGCCAGCACUUUAAACAAUUCACCUAAGCAGCUACAGUUAAAGAGACCCAAUUUUCUAAAUCAGCUGGGAAAGAUAUUUCAUAGCAACACAGAAUUAAUAUUGUCCAACUUGUUAGAAUUAGUCAUGACUAUAAUUAAGAGCAUACACAGGAGUAGCCAUGGGAAAAACAGAUCUCUGAAGAACAUUUUUGGAAGCAAAAUUACAUAUUGAUCCCUAGUGAUAAUGGGCUAAUGCUUCAAGCUUGCAGGCAGAACAACAAGUCUUUUGAACCAUGAAAAAUGAACACACCAGAAGCUAAAUGAGAAAAUUAAUAAAUUGCAGGUGAAGCUGAAUAUUUUUGUAGGUGGUAGAAGGACAUCUUCAAUGAUAAAAACUUUUUUGAAAAAAUAACUUAUAUUUACUUUGCACUAAAUAAGUGCAGAAGGCAAAGUUUUAUGACAAGCAAUUCUGAGGGACUGGAUGGUCUGCUAGUAAGGAGAAGAAUGCUAAAACUAAAAUGAGUCAUUAAAAAUAGGUCAUUUGCUUAGCUGCAUGAGAUGCCUUAAACUAAGCAUUCUACAUGAUCAAAAAAAGGAAGCAAGAAGUAAAGCAGAGAGCACAUAUCUGUCACUGGCUGUCAUGGUGACAAAAAAAAGAACAAAAAAAA